GAUGAACGCUGGCGGCGUGCCUAAUACAUGCAAGUCGAGCGAACAGAUAAGGAGCUUGCUCCUUUGACGUUAGCGGCGGACGGGUGAGUAACACGUGGGUAACCUACCUAUAAGACUGGGAUAACUUCGGGAAACCGGAGCUAAUACCGGAUAAUAUUUCGAACCGCAUGGUUCGAUAGUGAAAGAUGGUUUUGCUAUCACUUAUAGAUGGACCCGCGCCGUAUUAGCUAGUUGGUAAGGUAACGGCUUACCAAGGCGACGAUACGUAGCCGACCUGAGAGGGUGAUCGGCCACACUGGAACUGAGACACGGUCCAGACUCCUACGGGAGGCAGCAGUAGGGAAUCUUCUGCAAUGGGCGAAAGCCUGACGGAGCAACGCCGCGUGAGUGAUGAAGGUCUUCGGAUCGUAAAACUCUGUUAUUAGGGAAGAACAUACGUGUAAGUAACUGUGCACGUCUUGACGGUACCUAAUCAGAAAGCCACGGCUAACUACGUG
rnacentral:rRNA from 1 species